rnacentral:lncRNA from 1 species
ACAACUCUUCCCCUCUUAUAAAAAUUUCGUCCUCGAAAUUUAAACCUUUAUCAAUUCUUAAACCAAAAGGUUGGGGUACAAUUGUCUCAUCGAUUCUGCUCCUUCAUUCUGCUUCGUACUGCUAUCCAAGAUCCUCGGUGCCGACGAAACAUUUCCGAAUUAACCAGACCAAUUCUUGAUUCCCAAAAAGGCUAAGCACUUGUCCAUCUUUGCAAAAAUGAAAGUUGCAAAAGUUUUGGUUCUUUUUUUUUUUUUUUCUUAUUUUUCCACAAAGCGGCUAACUGCCACGUCGGGGAUUCGAACUCCCGACUUCGGACCACUGCUUCACACCCGGAUACCAACUCGGCUAGAGGCGCCGAAGGUGUCCCAAACCGCUUUCUUUUUCCAUUUAAAGCCAAAAUUCUCCUUUAAUCUCAAAUUCGAACUAUUCCGCCAUUUAAACAGUUCCAGCUCUCCUUUCUUAACAAUUCGAGAUGUCCCUAUUCUAGGCGACAUCCAAGGAUGAACAGGAUUC